GAAUAGAGCAGGCCAAGUCAGUCCAAGUCAAGCUAUAAAAAUACAAUAGUUUCAUGAUCGAAGGACACAGGCAGACGUUAUUUCCUGAAGUGGACUUAUUUCACUCAUUUGUUCUAAAGCUAUGUGAAAUCCAGAGCCAUCAUUAUAGCUAACAACUCCAAGAGGAGUAUUGUGCAUAGUGUGUCAGAGCACAGAGGGAUGGAAAAAGAGGCACGCCUCCCCAUCAGCUUUUGAUUGUGAAAUACAGUGUAAUGGACCCUCAUUAAUUCAAUUCAUGCAGGUGCAGAAGUGACAUAAAAGCCUCGUGAUGGCAUGUGACAGGCUGAAUUAUCUGAUACCCUACGAAAACGCAUGGCUCUUGAGCAAGAUCAGAAGUCACUGGCCCAGAUGCCACAGGAACCUUCACAUCUCAUGCAGCCCAGUCUAGGUGUUACAGUUCACCUGCUAGCACCCUGUCAUACAGCAUCUGCAACGUCAUCAUCUUGAAGACAUCCCUGACAACAGAUGUGUCACAACUGAAGUUAUCUAAAGAAAAGAGAUAGAAAAACAUUUUGCCUUCAUAAGGCUUAAUACAUUUCCUUGGCAUUGUGUAAUCUUCUGAAUUUUAGAACAUGCCAAACAGCAUUACUUCUUUUACUGCCUCUAGUAUCUUAGAAAGAGCCAUCAGAUAAUGAGCCGUGAGUCACUCUACACAUCUACCAUCCAUUUCACCAGCACUGUUCACUGACAUCCUUUAUGUUUUAAAAAUGCAUUAGCGGAAAAAUGUUUAUUCUCACCCUCAAUCUGAUUGACCUUUCAGACGAUGAGGCUUCUCCAGACAUAGGCUUCAUAACACCUCUUCUGCACUGCCAGUCACAUGUCAGAAUUCAAAGCACUAUACUUCUAAGGAGGUCUCCUGGGAAGAUCAAAAGCACAUCCUCUGCUUCUGUAGCAAAGAUUAAUUCAGAUCUAAAAUCUCAUUUUGACUCUGAAGAUAUGUUCACUUUACUAAACGCUUUUGUUCUCCAGUUGAGAACAGUAGAGACCAACUGGCUCCAGACUAUCCAAGUAUUUACUUCUGGUGCUGUCAACUUACUGAAAAUGGUGCCCUUGUCCUACCAACGUUCGCUUAAGGUCACUGAACGUAGCUUCAAAAAGACUCUAGAAUUUCAACAGUUUAAGUGUUUGAAACUGAAAAUCCAUCCUAAAACAGACUCCGUGACACGAGUGCUACAGAAAAACAUUUCCCUCUUUUACACAUGCUGAUGGGCUGGAGGAACAGGCAAAUGAGCCAAACACACACUAAAUUAGCUGCAAAGGUACAAGGUUAAUUUGCAUGAAUUCUUCUCCUUAGAAGAAAAAACAGUGAAGCACAGUGAGGAAGUAAAAGUCUUUUCCAUGCCUUUAAUCCAACGAAACUACAGAGCACAGCAAAUACACAAUCUUAAAAUAACACUAAUGACAAUGUCUCUUUUCACAAGCUUAUAAUUAAGCUUAUUCUUCAGGGCUUUGUCAAAUCAGUUCCUUGAUGAAUGAGCAAUUAAAAUUUAAGUAAAAACAUGUACUGUCUAAUAGAUUUUGUUGGUAGAAAAAUAUAAAUCUUUAAAUUAAAGAUUCAUUUUAUCAGAGAGUGCCUCACCUUUUCUCUACAGUUUUGUUGAUGUUGCUUAAAUCUUACCAUAAAAAAAGCUUUGUCUUCUGCCAAAUCUGUUCCAGCAGUUUAAGAUUUCAGUUUUCUUUGAUGUGUUUGCACUGAUUACAGCUUAAGAAAAUCUUUCAUCAGAAAUAUUAAGGAAUUGAUAACGUUUAUCUUGUUCUUAUCACUUAAAAAGGUGUACGCAGUUUACAAGUUGGGAACAAAGACAGCACAUGUACCACAUACUAUAGCAGACCAGAACCUCUACAACUUAGUGAUCUUACUAACAUUCUUUUUCUGUCUAAGUUACAGUUGCAUCACUGACACAGUGCCUGUUCAUUCUCUAAUAUAUGAUGAAUAACAGCACCUAACUACUUUAAAUGUAUACUCUACCAAGUCAAUUCAAUGCCUGUGCAGGUUUUGAUCUGUUCUACUCAUGCAAACAGUUGUUCUUAAAGAUAAAAUCCAAAUCACUUAAUUUGAACUGCUUCAACUGAUGAGAUCAAUUCAGUUCAUGUCAGACUUCCGUGCUGCAGCUUUACCAAAUACAUAAACCCAUCUGUGCAAGAAAGCAAAGCGAUUUUAGGCUUUGCAAAGCUUAAUACCUUCACAGAAUUUAGGACCUCUAAUUCUACAUCACAUAACCUGCACUACAGUAAACAGGAUGCUUUUGACAGUCUGUCUGCCCACAAAGCUUUCAAUUUUGAAAGAUACAAUUUCAUGAACUUCAGGGCAGCAGACCCUGCUGUCUCUUGAUGAUGUGCGCUCAUUUAAAAACAGCUAUUCCUUCUCUCCUCCAAAUCCAUUACAUUCUGCUUUUCCACAAACCCAAGAACACGGUGAUGGAACAAAGGGAGGAUCAAAGAAUACACAUAGUACUGUCUAUCUAAACCUGAAAUGUUUUUUCUACUAUUAGGUGGGAAAAAAGCAAUUCCUGAUGCAGGGAAGAAUACUGUAGAUUAAGCUGGAAAAUCCAUAAGUUGAUGGUCAUUUAAAUUAAUUAUUAAUUAUGCUUGACAACAAUCCCUUCCCUACCCACACUCUGACAGGAAAGCGCUUCACAGUUACACAAUGCAUCUGUUAAACACUGAGCUGCUGAAGUCGGAGCUUUUUCUUCUGCCUGUAACGAUUUGGAUGUUCACAGGAAGGGCAAAAUACACAGCCAUCGCACAAAGCCAUUUCAUCCAUUGGAGACUUGCGUUUCUCCUUAACCUUCUCCUUUUUAGGCUUUAUAAUACUAACUGCCUAUUAUCAUCUCCAACUCAAGGAAACAGUUCUCGGAUCCCAGAUUAUUUUUAUUGUUUCCUUCUGGAUUGAAAUGGGCCCACAUCUUCCUACGAAGUCUUAUCAAAGCUGAACAUAACAAAAUAAUUAUUUCAUAUGUCCUAAACGAAGCCUCACUUAAAUUUUAGCAAGUCAUUUAUGCUUUGUAAUCAGAGGGCAUCCUCACAGAGUCCCUCGAUCCACAGCAGGAGUGACAUUUCCAUACUUGUUCUUUCCCUUGGCCAAAUACUUUGAACACAGACCUCUGCAGAACCCCGGUUCCCCUUUCACUGUCCCCUCUUGACAUGUUCUCAUCAGUUCCAGAACAAGUGCCAAGCAGAACUGACACUACCGAACCUGAAAGCCCCGUGUACUGUUUCUGUGACACCAGCUGUAUGAUACAUAUAGUCCCAGACACAGCAAAUACAGAGUGCUGAAAGAAACGCUAUUUUAUUUGAAGUCUCUGAGAGUAACUUCAAGCUUUUAUUCCAUUAAUAAAGACCCAUUUUCACCUAUACAAAACAACUCAUCAAGUUCAUAAAUCAUUCAUCUUAAGAUACAAUUAAUAGGCAAACAGCUUAUUAUCACCACAGCAGGCAGUUUUUAUCCAACAGUACAGAAAGACUGAACGUGAUUUAAAAAAGCCAUGAUGAAUAUGAUAUGGCCAUCAGGGUGCCUGGUUGAAGAGCAGUGGCACUCUGUGAACAGGCAGUCUUCUGAGACUCCACUAUUAGCCAGACCUCUUCAGUCCCUUUCCCCGUACCCAUCGUCACAACAAAAAUGGCAAAGCUCCUAAUGAUAAAUGUGCUACACAACUUAUAGCAUACAUUCACAGCCAUGUCAUCGUAGUCAGAGCAUGCAGAUUAAUGAAGUGAGUAACACGUUUUUAACGUCAGAAAUUAUGAUUUAAGUACAACAAAGUGAAUUAUAGCUUGUUGUAUUUACGUGCACUGUCAGUCACAGCAGCCGGUUCCACAAAACAGACUUUAAAUUAAGUUGUAAUAGUCUCCAGCAUCUCUCACUCUGCUUAAGAGAUUCUUAAAAUGUGAAUGUGAAUAAGUACACUUGUAUUUUGUAUUUUAAGAUCCUUUUUAUAUUAACAUGGCUGCAGAUAGCCCAAAUAGGACUUAAAACAACAGCUUAACAAUCAUUUGUCCAGUUAGGUCAGUAUCAGAAGCCUUUAUUUUCAGGACUUCAUGUGCGAAGACUCCAUCUACUAUAUUUUUGGUCUCUGCUGUAAUCACAUUGCUUGGCUUAAAGAUCGGGUUUUGCUCAAUACAUCAGAACGGCAAUAACUGACAUCUUAGUACUCAGAAGUCAAGCAAUACAAGAGAGUGCAUUUAUUUGCCUUUUCUCAAAUUGCCCAUUUGCCACUUGCUAUGAAAGCGCCCUCCGAAAAAAGCACACCCAAUACCUUUCAAUGAGAAAACUGAAAAUGAACUUUUAAUGCAGUCCAGUGCCAUAGGAAUGGCAACUGAAUUCAGACCUUCUGUAUAAGCAGUAUACUUCCCUUGAACACCACUUAGGAAAAACAAAAUCAAAGCCAAAAGGCCAGGACAGCAAAAUUAAAACACUAACUUAACAUUCAAUAAACAUUUUCUAAUCUGCUUUCUCGUAACUAGGUAACAAACAAUAGUGCUUUCAUUAGGAAAAGAUUCAUUUUGCAAGUGCCUGUGAGAUAUGAGCCAUCUCCACAAAGCACAUAGCAGAUUCCUUCCAGCUUUCUGGUCAUCCAUGCACUUCAGAUGGCCGUGUCACAGGAGGUAAGAGGCAGCAGAUGCCCUCAAACAAGAGUCUUUCACUUUGCAGAGCAAGAAGUUCUUUGUACAAAUAUGGUAUGUGAUGAAAAAGACCUCCAUCCAUAGAAUCAGAGAUAUCUACAGCCCUUAUCACUGACAUUUAACAGCCAGAGAGAUGUUAUUAAAGAGGUAGCAAGACAUCCAAAAACACCUAUUGUUUUCAUCAAGAACAAAAUACUGACAGAGCAGGAUAUUUGAUAAGGCACAGGCAGAUCUCAGGACGUUUUUUUUUCUUGAAGCUAAAACAAAAGCAGCAGCAAUAAAGUUAGGCCACUUCACAGCAACCAUCUGUCUGGAUUCAAACUUCACAGCUCCACAGUCUACAUCACAAAGAACUCAAAACACUCCUUGAAUGGAUAAAAAGCUCCAACUGCAUCAGUCUGAGAUCUGCUUCACUUUCUCUAAAAUCCAGUUCAUGCUUUAAGGCAAAGGAAGAAGCCAAAAGGCAGAGGCUACUACAAGAAAAGCCCUACCCCAACAGUGUUCUCUUAACAUGGAACUGUUAGGUCUACUAAGAAAAAAAGAAAAAAUACCAUUUAAGGCAUUCAUAGGACUCGUGAAUAUGAAACUAUUUUUUAAUUACCUAAACACCUAUGCCGAGGAAUGUGUACUCUGUAAGUAGCACCAGCAGUCAUUAGUUCCAGUAUUAAUUUUCUAAAGAACAUUCACGAUUGGGAAGUGAAUUCAGUGGCUCAAGUCUAAUUACGAAGGAUCAAUGGUGCAAGAGAGGUAGCCAACUUUUUCAAAGAGUCACUUCCUUUUCCCCAGUAAUUAACACUUCCGAAACAAAUUACUUGCAUCUCAUUCAAUGCAUCUCAUGCUUACCACAAACAACAACAAAAAAACAAUAAACACAGCAGUGAAAUCAUUGCUUCUUAAAGUUACAGCAUCUUUGGGAAAUUAAAGUGGGAGGAAAGGAGAAUGACUUGUACUCUAAUACGCUUGGGGCAACUUAAAUAAAACUGGCUUGUACUGGAAUUCAACUUAGAAACAAAAGAUUCCUUGAUCCUUUAAAAAUGAACAAUUUUGCUAAACUUAAAAUAAUUAUGUGCUCAGUCAAGCAUGACACCUAUAAAUAGAUUCCUCAUCAACAUGCCUUCCUUUUAUAUAUAAAAAGCUAAGUUCAGAAGCAUUCAAUAGAACAAAAGAGAAACCUACUGCAAGCACAGCUGAAAACAUGGGGGGUGGAAGAGGGGGCAUACAAAAACAAAAUACCAGUAUGUUGGUUCAUUAAUAAAUGAUGGAGCUACAACAAUAGUACAGAAAACAAUAUAAUAGCUCUACUUUCCUACAUUGACUUUUUUAUUUGUUGUUUUUUUAACUGUGAAGCACCAAAGAGUUUUCAAAAAGAUAACCAUGAAAAAUAUCAUUAAUAUAACAUAAAUGUUGCAGAAGGUUUAAUUGAAUGUAUUUCUAGCAACAUGCCAUCACCUCCUGUGUUUUCAUUAAAUUAAUGAAAAAACAAUGACUACUUAGCUAUCUAAUGAUACAACAACAGGUAAUAAAUGAUGAACCAACAAGUUCAGUGGUAUGGAUCGCCGACAACAGUAAUUUGAUUUCAGUAAACCAUAUGGCUAUAAGUAAAGAGUCACAGAUUUAGCAAAAAAUGAAAGAAAACACCAAAAAUCCCUACGUUUGAGACUGAUGAACUUCAGUCUGAAUAACUUCUAUGUAAGGGUUAUGGAUUAUAAGAGGUAACGGAUGAAACAAACUACCUAAGAAAACCUGCAGGGAAAUGAAUGAAAUGGAUCUUGAAUUUAGACACCUAUAUAUUAGAGAUUUUAUUACCUCUGCUGCUCUCACAUAUCCCCAAAGAUUGCAUCAGAGAACAAUAUCCAAUUCGGGUGCUCACAUAUUGAAGAGGGCUCAGUAAAGAGCAAUGACAAUAACUGAAAGGACUGAAAAGCAUGCUUUACAAUGAGCACAUCAAAACAUAUAACCUAGUUAGCUUUUCAGAGAGAAGACAAAGAGGUGAGUUAAUACAAAUUGAGAAUAAAGAGCUCUUUAAAUUGAGUUGCAGCCACACUGCCUCAGAGUAGGAAAAAAAGGAAUAAAACCAUCUUCUUUGGAAGUACUCAGAAGAGGAAAUGAAAGGCUAAAAGGCAGUUAACUUCAAGAGAAAUAUUUAGAACAUGAAAUUCUGAAAAGAAUUUGAAUUGAAAGAUGACUAAUAUGGAUUUCUUUCUCUUUCUCCCUGCCCUGUGCUGUAGCUGGCCAGAUGAGCUUAGGUGACAGCUAACUGACACAGAAGAAAAGUUCUGUUACAUGAAGAUGCCUUAGUUAGCCCAAUGCAGUUAUCUAAAGAAAAACUGAAGCUGUCAGCAAUCAUGCAGUAUAAAUAAAGAUGAUAUGCAAAUAUAUUGAUGACAGCAACAGUUGAAACACUAUUUACACAAACGGUUGCAGAUUAAGGCAGUUUUUUUUACAGAGUCAGCUAAAAGUUGAAUGUACAGAAACCAAUGGCAACGUGGUCUUCUUUUCCUGAGGGCACUAGGCCAGCUGUGAUUCUCUACACAAUCCUUUGGGAUGCAUAUUUAAAUGAAUAUUUAUCAUUUUUUUGUGCUGCAAAUUAUAUUUACCAAAAAGCAGCAGCUGUUACUGCUUUUCCACAUGCAGAUUUCUGUCACGAAACUGAACUCAGCAGCAGAGGUGCCCAGCCUUACUCUGCUCCUGGGCAGGUAGGCAGAGAAUGGCAGCCCACCCAGUCAGCCAACAAAACCACACGAAGCUACAAACAGGCAACCAUCCUUAAGGAUCCAGCACAAGCACUGUCGCUACUAUGAGGGCUAGUCCAAAUAUUGUGCCUCCAGUUUAACUCUGUUAGCCCACGUCAACAGAGGUAGAUGGUGAUGGUAUGGCAGUAGAGGUUGAAUCUUCCCACCUGUAUCCUGUAACAUAUUGUUACCAUGAGACACAUGGCAGCAGAGGGGCACUCUGACACAAUAGCAUCUGACAUGGAAGUGUGGAUGAAGUAAAGGGGUGGCACUGAAUUCCUCUAUGCAGGAAAAAUGGCACCCAGUGACAUUCAUUGACACUUGCUGAACAUUUAUGGAGACAGAACAGUGGAUGUGAGCACAGCAAGGCAGUGGGUGGUGUGUUUCAGCAGUGGCAACAGCAACCUGAAAGAUAAGCCACGUUCCAGAUGACCAUCCACAAAUGAAACGAAGGGUGUCUCAAUCAUCCCAUAUAUGCAAAUCACCAGAUUACAACCAUGGAGCUGAAUGCCAGCUUCAAUGCAUUGGAAACAACAGUGGCAACACUGCAAUAUCACAAAGUUUGCACCAGGUGGGUCUCACAAAUUCUUAUACAGCAACAGAAAGAACACUGUAUGAACACUGUAACUUUGUCAGGACCUACCGAACCAAUACAAGCAAUGAGAUGUGGUGUCACCACAAACCAGAGUCAAAAGGUCAGUCUGUGGAGUGGCAACAUGUGAAUUCCCCAGGUUUAAGACACAGUGGGUAAAGUGAUGUGACUAUCUUUUGUGAUAGGAAAGGGGUGAUCCUUUUGGAUUUCCUUAAACCCAGAGAAACCAUCAACUCUGACACCUACAUCACAACACCGAUGACUCAAACUUCCAGAGUAAUGCCAAAGAAGACGACAAUCUUUCUCUACCAGCAUGAUAAUGCCAGACUCCAUACCAGUCUGAAGAACCGUGAAGCACACUGACAAUCUUGGCUGGACUGUCCUACCACACUCACCAUAUAGUCCAGAUUUGGUGCCUUCUGACUCCCAUCUGUUUGGGCCAAUGAAAGAUGGACCAUGUGGGCAGUGUUUUCCUAGCAAUUAUGCUGUCAUAGCAGCUGUGAAACAGUGGCUCACCUCCACUGGUGCAGAUUUCCGCAAGCGCAGCAUGCAGACUCUUGUUCAUUGCUAGCAAGAAUGCAUAGGUAAUGGUGGUGACUAUGUUGAAAGACAGAGUUUUGUAGCUGAGAAUUUGCUCUAUCAGUUUCUGUUCUUUGUAUCUGUUAUAGUUUCCAUGAAAAUAAAUACGAGGCAUUACUUU